GCGAGUACUUUGAACCUCGAACAUUGCACUGUCAUCUGUAACUGAUGAGCAAAGCUGACAUGGUUGAUGGUUCCUCGCUAAGCUAUGUUCGUAGCACACAGGAACCUCGUGCAGUUACCAAACGUAGCCCCGCGAAGAUGCCGAUUCGUGCCGACGAAAGUUAUUCUCUUUAUGUCACAAAGCAAUUAGGCACACUCCAUCCAUCAGAUAGCUGAGCCAGGACCGGAGGCGGCACAACGGAGGCUGGACUGGAUUCUUGAAGAGGCUUCCAUUCCAUGGGGGUAAAGCGAUCCCAUUUCCACUCCUGCCUGUUGUCUGCCUCCAAGGCAACAGUUUUUUAGUUUGCUUGCGCUCUCCUGCCUUCGGUUCACCGCCUCUCCAUGAAUGCAAGCAAGCCGCCUUUUAAAUACGAGGCUCUCGCUUGUUACUGAAGCUGCGCGGCGUCUUGUGCCUCGGAACCUGCCAACUGCCAUUGGAAGUGUUUCUCUACAGUCUACAAAUACGUCGCGCGCCAUGGACGGCGACUCGAAGAAGCUGAGGGUGUGGUUUUCUGGAGUAGGAAAGGGAGGUGGAGGUGGACGCCAGUCUUCAGCGGCACCACCGCAAGAAAGCGCGCCUAUUGGAAGAGCGGAAAUGAACAGCAGCGGGGAAUUUGAUGCUGCAUUCGCAGCCACAAUUGCAGCAGCAGCAUUUGCAAUUGCUGCCCGUGAAGAGAAGCUUGCAGCUCAGAAGAAGUCUGUCCCCAUCGAGGAGGUGCCACGAGCCCUGUCGCUAGUCAAGAGAGCUGGAAGCACCAAAAAACCUGCGGGAGGCAACAAAAUCUCAAGAUGGUUUAGCGGCAAGGAGCCUCUAGAACACGACGACGACGGUCCAGUGAGCAGGCCACUGAAACCAGCACCUGGAAAGCCCGAGGGUAUGCCUGCAGAUCACAAGGUGGCACCCAAGAUUCUUGAGACUUCUCUGAGUGUGAGGAAGGGUUCAGGGUCCUCCGGCAAGACAACAGACAGGAAAGGGAGCAAGAAGUUUGAGCAAGAACAUGUUCAGAAAGCGCCAUCGAUCAUCAGGCCAUCUACAUCAUACCAUUCUAGACGGAAUGGAGAAGACGCAGCAGGAGUAGCUGCUAUUGGCGGCACGAGAUCUAAGGCUGAUGAGUGGGAGAAGGCAAAGCUUGCAAAAGUUAGAGAGGAGUACGAAAAGAUGAUGGAGACCAUAGCUGAAUGGGAAACUGAGAAGAAGACUGUGCUGGACAGAAAGAGAGCAAAAGCACUAGAAGAAUACAACCAGGAGAUGACAAGGAUCAGCAAGAUUGCUGGAGGAGCAAGGUCGAUGGCAGAGGAACGAAAAUACAACGACGAGAAUAAGAUCAAAGAGAAGGCGCACAAGAUACGAUCCACAAGAAAGCCUCCCCGCACAUGUGCUUGCUUUUGAGAAUAGUUCUAUACACUGAAAUUUGGAACCGUAUGAAAGAAGUGUGAUUUGAAGUCACUAUUGUAAAAGUCACACAAUAGUGACGUACUGUAUUGUAAUAUGUAUUUGGCUUUGACAAGAUAUUAGUGUAGAGUUGUAUCCCCCUUCAAAAAGAGAGUUGUAUCCAACACGCAACAUAUUGACGCUUUCCACUGAAAGCAACAUCAGCAUGUUUGAAGGACGUGGAAUUCAGAUAGAGAGAGAGGAAGAUACAUGCAUCAAUAUUCAAGAUGAAGCCUGGAGUAGGAACUGCCCCCAACAACUAUGAGAAAGGAGUACAUAUAUUCUUCAGAAAAGAACGAAAUUCAGGAUUCUCAUCGCAGAGUGUUUGAUACAAGUACUUCAAAGAAAAUGGGAAGGAAGUGCAUUUGCCUUUUGAAAGGAAACUAUUACAUAUGGCAGACAGCAGACAGCAGUUCCUCAUGAUGCCAAUGAGUUGAAGAGCUUUAAACAGCAAGGGCGGAGAAACUAAAAUGUAAUUUCAAUCACCGCUACAGAUCCUCAGCAUCCUGUUUAGAUGAUUUGGGGUGCCCUUCAUACUCUAACUUCACCCCUAAGCUUGCAGUGAUGACCCUGAAUUUCAGCCUUAUCUUCUCCAUCACGUCUUGAAUUUGUUCAUUCUCCGGAUCGGACAGCGGAUAACUGCCCACCAGUGCAGCCAGUUGCUCGAUAUUCUUCCUGACCCGAGCUGUGAAGGCAUUCUGAUCAAUGAGAAUUGCAGACGUCCACACAUCCAGACAGCCCUGAAAGAAACCCAGUUCUUCACCGACCUGGAAACCCAUCUUUAAACCAACCUGCCUCCCCUCUUCCUUUCCAGAUGCCAAACCAUCAUUAUAGCCAUUUCUGUACCCCUCCUGGUAAUGUGUCUCAUCUAAGAGUACAGUUGGUUCAA